rnacentral:rRNA from 1 species
AUUGAACGCUGGCGGCAGGCUUAACACAUGCAAGUCGAGCGAGCGGCGGACGGGUGAGUAAUGUCUGGGAAACUGCCUGAUGGAGGGGGAUAACUACUGGAAACGGUAGCUAAUACCGCAUACCAUCAUAUGUGCCCAGAUGGUCUUAUCUAGUAGGUGGGGUAAUGGCUCACCUGGGCGACGAUCCCUAGCUGGUCUGAGAGGAUGACCAUCCACACUGGAACUGAGACACGGCCCAGGCUCCUACGGUAGGCAGCAGUGGGGAAUAGUGCACAAUGGGCGAAAGCCUGAUGCAGCCAUGCCGCGUGUAUGAGUAAGGCCUUAGGGUUGUAAAGUACUUUCAUCGGGGAGGCGUUACCCGCAGAAGAAGCACCGGCUAACUCCGUGCCAGCAGCCGCGGUAAUUG